GUCAAUCCCCUGCUCGGUGCAAAGGUCCUUCCCGGUGAAACCGACAUCGCCCUGCCCGGCCCGCUGCCGUUCAUCCUCUCCCGCACCUACAGCAGUUACCGGACAAAAACGCCCGCGCCGGUGGGGAGCCUCGGCCCCGGCUGGAAAAUGCCUGCGGAUAUCCGCUUACAGCUGCGCGAUAACACACUGAUACUCAGUGAUAAC
rnacentral:rRNA from 1 species